GCCAGUAACAGGUCGCCUCUGCUUUCCACAGACCAAACAUGUGUUGGUGUACAUGUGUUGGACAUCUUCUCUCGGAGAUUCAAGGCAUACCUGUGAAAUCAUGCCCGAGCCCCUGGGAUCCCAGAGAGAAACCUCAUUCACAAGCUUCAGUCCUACUUCUAACAGCGGCUUUGAAGACAGCAGCUGUACAUGACGGUACAGGACUUGUGUUGUAUCAGCUUUUAAAGCAGACAACGUUCUAGGAUUUCUGGGCUGAAGAUGCUAAUUGCCGAUUUUAUGUAUGAAAGUCUUUGUACAUUUAAUCAUACAAUUAAAUUGCUAGAAUAUUUUAAACCA